AGUUUGUUGCCGCCCGCGGGCGGGAACAGACGUGUUCGGACACGUUACGCGUUUGUCCUUUGGAUCAUGUUUUUGAGUUUUAUCUUCCCCUUCUAAAGAGGAAUCCUUUCUAAUUGUUCACUUAAUCCUUCUCACCUGGCCGUGUGGUGGGUAAUUAAUUUGUGCCAAUCAAACAAAGAAGAAGAAGAUAAUAGCUAGAUUGUGAUAGCCGGUCGUAACGUUUUUAAAAUAUUUACUCUACUGGAGAAUAAAUUUGAAGAAGCCUGCAAUCUUCGGGUUGGAAAACAUUUAAAUCUUAAUUUUUCUUGCAAUGAUGUUGCCUGAAACCUCAAUGAUGAUCAUAUACUGGCGACAGCAGCAACAAAUGGUGCAGUGGUUGUUUGGAAUUUAAAUAAACAAUCUCGGUCAAAACAGGAGCAUGUAUUUAUAGAUCAUAAAAGAACUGUGAAUAAAGUGAGCUUUCAUAUGAGAAAAACCUAUGUGGUUAAUAUCUGGCUCACAAGAUGGUACUAUGAAAUGUUUUGAUUUAUGAAUAAAAGAAACCAUUAAAACUUUUUAUAGAAUCGGUGAGAGAUGUUCAAUUUUGUUCACAACAACCGCAUACUUUUGCUGCUGUAUCCGAAAAUAGACAUGUACAGCAAUGGGACAUGAGAAAGCUGGAUCAGUAUUUUCAACAUUUUACCGCACACAGUGGUCCGAUAUUUACUUGUGAUUGGCAUCCUGAAGCCAC